rnacentral:RNase_P_RNA from 1 species
GGGAGUGGGCGCAUGAUCGCAUCGGCGCAGGCCGGUGAGGAAAGUCCGAACUCCGCAGGGCAGGAUGGUUCGUAACGCGAACCGGGGGCGACCCCGGGAAAGUGCCACAGAAAACAUACCGCCCCGGUUUUCCCGGGGUAAGGGUGAAAUGGCGAGGUAAGAGCUCACCGCUUUCAUGGCAACAUGAAAGGCACGGCAAACCCCAUCCGGAGAAAGACCAAAUAGGAAAGCGCUUGAGGGCUGCCCGUCCGAAGCUUUCGGGUAGGUUGCACGAGGUGCCGGGUGACCGGCAUCCCAGAUAAAUGAUCAUGGCCCCGCAAGGGGUACAGAAUUCGGCUUACAGCCCACUCCUUUUU